CUGCAAGUCGUGUCAGCAAGGCAGGUCUGUCUGUGAUUGUGCCUCUUCCUGAGUACUUGCUAGAUUGACGUGGGAGAUAUUUGAGGCUUUGUUCACUCCUCUUAAGGAACAAAGGUUAGGAAGUCUCGCACAGUU
rnacentral:snoRNA from 1 species